rnacentral:rRNA from 1 species
GCCAGACUCCUACGGGAGGCAGCAGUGGGGGAUAUUGCACAAUGGGGGGAACCCUGAUGCAGCGACGCCGCGUGGGUGAAGGAGCGUUUCGGCGCGUAAAGCCCUAUCGGCAGGGAAGAAGGAGGACGGUACCUGACUAAGAAGCCCCGGCUAACUACGUGCCAGCAGCCGCGGUAAUACGUAGGGGGCCAGCGUUAUCCGGAUUUACUGGGUGUAAAGGGGGCGCAGACGGCAGCGCAAGCCAGGAGUGAAAGCCCGGGGCCCAACCCCGGGACUGCUCUGGGAGCUGGGCGGCUGGAGUGCAGGAGGGGCAGGCGGAAUUCCUGGUGUAGCGGUGAAAUGCGUAGAUAUCAGGAGGAACACCGGUGGCGAAGGCGGCCUGCUGGACUGCGACUGACGUUGAGGCCCGAAAGCGUGGGGAGCAAACAGGAUUAGAUACCCGAGUA